AAUUUUGGGCAAUGGGGGAAACCCUGAUCCAGCCAUCCCGCGUGUAUGAUGAAGGCCUUCGGGUCGUAAAGCUCUGUCCUUGGGGAAGAAGGUCUUCGGACUUGACGAUACCCAAGAAGAAAGCCCCGGCUAACUACGUGCCAGCAGCCGCGGUAAUACGUAGGGGGCGAGCGUUGUCCGGAAUUACUGGGCGUAAAGGGUGCGUAGGCGGCCCUUUAAGUCAGAUGUGAAAGCCCGCGGCUUAACCGCGGAACUGCAUUUGAAACUGGAGGGCUUGAGUGUCAGAGAGGGUAGUGGAAUUCCCAGUGUAGCGGUGAAAUGCGUAGAUAUUGGGAGGAACACCAGUGGCGAAGGCGACUACCUGGACGAUAACUGACGCUGAGGCACGAAAGCUAGGGGAGCAAACAGG
rnacentral:rRNA from 1 species